AUUGAACGCUGGCGGCAUGCCUUACACAUGCAAGUCGAACGGUAACAGGUCUUCGGAUGCUGACGAGUGGCGAACGGGUGAGUAAUACAUCGGAACGUGCCUAGUAGUGGGGGAUAACUACUCGAAAGAGUGGCUAAUACCGCAUGAGAUCUACGGAUGAAAGCAGGGGAUCGCAAGACCUUGUGCUACUAGAGCGGCCGAUGGCAGAUUAGGUAGUUGGUGGGAUAAAAGCUUACCAAGCCGACGAUCUGUAGCUGGUCCGAGAGGACGAUCAGCCACACUGGGACUGAGACACGGACCAGACUCCUACGGGAGGCAGCAGUGGGGAAUUUUGGACAAUGGGCGCAAGCCUGGUCCAGCAAUGCCGCGUGCAGGAUGAAGGCCUUCGGGUUGUAAACUGCUUUUGUACGGAACGAAAAGCCCUGGGUUAAUACCCUGGGGUCAUGACGGUACCGUAAGAAUAAGCACCGGCUAACUACGUGCCAGCAGCCGCCGUAACAC
rnacentral:rRNA from 1 species